rnacentral:rRNA from 1 species
UACGUAGGAGACGAGCGUUGUCCGGAAUUACUGGGCGUAAAGCGCGUGUAGGCGGAUGGGCAAGUCUGCUGUGAAAGCUCCUGGCUUAACCGGGAGUGGUCGGUGGAAACUGCCCGUCUGGAGGACGGUAGAGGUAGGUAGAAUUCCCCGUGUAGUGGUGAAAUGCGUAGAGAUCGGGAGGAAUACCUGUGGCGAAGGCGGCCUACUGGGCCGGACCUGACGCUGAGACGCGAAGGCGUGGGGAGCGAACGGG